rnacentral:rRNA from 1 species
UACAGAGGGUGCGAGCGUUAAUCGGAAUUACUGGGCGUAAAGCGUGCGUAGACGGUUAUUUAAGUCGGAUGUGAAAGCCCCGGGCUCAACCUGGGAAUUGCAUUCGAGACUGAAUAGCUAGGGUACGGUAGAGGGAAGUGGAAUUUCCGGUGUAGCGGUGAAAUGCGUAGAUAUCGGAAGGAACAUCAGUGGCGAAAGCGACUUCCUGGACCAGUACCGACGUUCAGGCACGAAGGCGUGGGGAGCAAACAGG